AUGCGGAGGGUGCGAGCGUUGUUCGGAAUCACUGGGCGUAAAGGGCGCGCAGGCGGUCUGUCAAGUCAGAUGUGAAAGCCCACGGCUCAACCGUGGACGUGCAUCUGAAACUGGCAGACUCGAGUACCGGAGGGGAAAGUGGAAUUCCCGGUGUAGAGGUGAAAUUCGUAGAUAUCGGGAGGAAUACCGGAGGCGAAGGCGACUUUCUGGACGGAUACUGACGCUGAGGCGCGAAAGCGUGGGGAGCGAACAGGAUUAGAUACCCUUGUAGUCC
rnacentral:rRNA from 1 species